rnacentral:misc_RNA from 1 species
GAUGAAGAACGUAGCGAAAUGCGAUAAGUAAUGUGAAUUGCAGAAUUCAGUGAAUCAUCGAAUCUUUGAACGCACAUUGCGCCCCCUGGUAUUCCGGGGGGCAUGCCUGUUCGAGCGUCAUUUCACCACUCAAGCCUCGCUUGGUAUUGGGCAACGCGGUCCGCCGCGUGCCUCAAAUCGUCCGGCUGGGUCUUCUGUCCCCUAAGCGUUGUGGAAACUAUUCGCUAAAGGGUGUUCGGGAGGCUACGCCGUAAAACAACCCCAUUUCUAAGGUUGACCUCGGAUCAGGUAGGGAUACCCGCUAAACUUAAGCAUAUCAAUAAGCGGAGGA